UACGGGGGGAGCAAGCGUUGUUCGGAAUUACUGGGCGUAAAGGGCGCGUAGGCGGUUGGAUAAGUCAGCUGUGAAAACCACGGGCUUAACUCGUGGCCUGCAGUUGAGACUGUCUGGCUUGAGUGUGGGAGAGGAGAGUGGAAUUCCUGGUGUAGCGGUGAAAUGCGUAGAUAUCAGGAGGAACACCGGUGGCGAAGGCGGCUCUCUGGACCACAACUGACGCUGAGGCGCGAAAGCUAGGGAAGCAAACAGG
rnacentral:rRNA from 1 species